AUCUUCGGCAAUGGGCGAAAGCCUGACCGAGCGACGCCGCGUGCGGGAUGAAGGCCUUCGGGUUGUAAACCGCUGUCGUUGGGGAGGAAGUGCAGGGGGGUUCUCCCCUCUGUUUGACCUAUCCAAGGAGGAAGUACGGGCUAAGUUCGUGCCAGCAGCCGCGGUAAGACGAACCGUACGAACGUUAUUCGGAAUUACUGGGCUUAAAGGGUGCGUAGGCGGCGCGGUAAGUUGGGUGUGAAAGCCCUCAGCUCAACUGAGGAACUGCACUCAAAACUACCGUGCUCGAGGGAGACAGAGGUAAGCGGAACUCAAGGUGGAGCGGUGAAAUGCGUUGAUAUCUUGAGGAACACCGGUGGCGAAGGCGGCUUACUGGGUCUUUUCUGACGCUGAGGCACGAAAGCUAAGGUAGCAAACGGGAUUAGAUACCCCGGUAGUCUUAGCUGUAAACGAUGAGCACUUGUUUGAAGGGUCCUCCAUAGCCUUUCAGACGUAGCGAAAGUGUUAAGUGCUCCGCCUGGGGAGUAUGGUCGCAAGGCUGAAACUCAAAGAAA
rnacentral:rRNA from 1 species